rnacentral:rRNA from 1 species
UCUUCCGCAAUGGACGAAAGUCUGACGGAGCAACGCCGCGGGAGAGAUGAAGGGUUCCGGAUCGUAAAACUUUGUUGUUAGGGAAGAACAAGUACCGUUCGAAUAGGGCGGCACCUUGACGGUACCUAACCAGAAAGCCACGGCUAACUACGUGCCAGCAGCCGCGGUAAUACGUAGGUUGCAAGCGUUGUCCGGAAUUAUUGGGCGUAAAGCGCGCGCAGGCGGUUUCUUAAGUCUGAUGUGAAAGCCCCCGGCUCAACCGGGGAGGGUCAUUGGAAACUGGGGAACUUGAGUGCAGAAGAGGAGAGUGGAAUUCCACGUGUAGCGGUGAAAUGCGUAGAGAUGUGAAGGAACACCAGUGGCGAAGGCGACUCUCUGGUCUGUAACUGACGCUGAGGCGCGAAAGCGUGGGGAGCGAACAG